rnacentral:rRNA from 1 species
UACAGAGGUGGCAAGCGUUGUUCGGAAUUACUGGGCGUAAAGGGCGCGUAGGCGGCUUGGUCAGUCCCGUGUGAAAUCCCUCGGCUCAACUGAGGAACUGCACGGGAAACUGCCUGGCUUGAGUUCGGGAGAGGGAAGCGGAAUUCCGGGUGUAGCGGUGAAAUGCGUAGAUAUCCGGAGGAACACCGGUGGCGAAGGCAGCUUGCUGGGACGGUACUGACGCUGAGACGCGAAAGCGUGGGGAGCAAACAGG